GACAAGCUAUUCUGAAAAAUUUAUACAACAACGGGGUGAGCAUAUAAAGCUCAGCAAGUGACUAACAUAUCCAUGUCAAAAGAGGACAAUUUCCAAAGAGAUAAAGUUUCAAAAUGCAAGGCAGAAUAUAAGAAUUCAUAGACGUAAUAUCAUUAGGUGCAGAAUCACAAUUGUCAUUUCAAUCAAACAUAUUUGGUUCAUAACAGAUGGGGCAUAGAGUAAUUGGAGCAUAU
rnacentral:lncRNA from 1 species